UCACCGAAAUCAAGCAUCAUUGGGCGCGGUCAGUACUUGGGUGGGUGACCACCUGGGAACACCGCGUGCCGUU